rnacentral:lncRNA from 1 species
AGAACGCGACGGGCGGUACAGCGUGUGGGGCGCCGUAUUCUGGGAGCCUGUGUAUGCGUGUGCUGUGUGCGCGCAGCUGUGCAGGAUGAAUCACAGACAUCAGAGAUGGAGAACACCUGUUACUGUGGGUCAUCGGCUUGGCGUGCGUCCGGUCUAGUUUCCAUUUACAGGACAGUUCUGUGCCCUUCCUCAGGAGGUCCCAUUCCUUCCUUCUUUUGGUCGGUUCUGAGUGUCAGCUGUCUACUGGGGAUCUGCUAAGGCUAAGAGGCAAAGAUAGGCAAGUCACUCCCCUGACCUCAAGAAACUCCCAGUCUACAGGCGAAGAUACACCACCCACCGGUAGAGUCGCUGGACCAGGUACAGAUGGUGCCUGUCAUUGGGGAGGAACGAAAAGUGCUGUGCAGCCCUGAGGGGGGGAGGGAGAGGUAGCUUUUUGAGUAGUGGUAGAUCAGGAGGCUUUAUGGAGGAAAUAGCAUUUGAGGACCUUGAAGGCUGGGUAGGAUUUGGCAUGAAGAAGUAGAAGGAAGUGGCAUAGCCGGAGUGAGGAAAUCCAGCGGAAGUCCUGAUGUUUGAAAUCUCAGGUGUGUUUAGGGCUUUUGGAUGAAGAGUUUGGAUUUGAUUUUGGAGUCAAUGGAGAAGCCUGACAUAUUUUUUAGUGCCCUCCCUUCCUUAAUGUUAAGAAAAAGAAAGAUUCUAGAGCACCGGUUGUCAGAGUGCUGGCCCCAGACCUGCAGUGUCAGCAUCACCUGGGAAACAGUUAGAAAUGCAAAUCCUAGGAUCCUACUCCAGACUUAAGAAAUCAGAAACUCUGAGGGUGGGUCUCAGUUAACCAGUAUAUUGGUUCAGAUAUGCUGCUUUAAAACCUUCCUACUCAAAAUGUAGACCUUGGGCCAAUAUCAUCAGCAUCACAGGAGAACCUAUCAGAAAUGCAGAAUCUGAAAAUCCCACACCUACUAACCCAGAAGCUGCAUUUUAACGAGCAUACUGGGUGAUUUGUUUACCUAUUAAAGUGUGAGAAACACUGCUGUAGAGACUUUGGAAAAUACAGUAAAGUAUAAAGAACCCCCCAGUCUACACCCAGUUGUAUUCUUUGUUAAUAUUUUGAUGUAAUUCCUACCAGUUGUUUCCUAGGCAUCUAUAUUUGUAAAAAGUGCUCUUUUAGCCAACAUAAGUGGUAUGGAACAAUAUACACAAUUCAUUUACUGUUUGUUGUUGUUGUUGUUGUUUUCUUUUCUUUUUUAUUUUUGAGUCAGGGUCUUUCUCUGUCACCCAGGCUGCAGUGCAGUGGCAUGAUAAUUGCUCACUGCAGCCUCAAACUCCUGGGCUCAAGGGAUCCUCUCACCUCUUACUUUAGCCUCCUGAGAAGUUGCAACUAUAGGUGCACACCACUACCCCUGGUUAAUUAUUUUUUUUGUAGAGACAGGGUCUUGCAAUGUUCCCCAGGCUUGCUUCCUGUGCUUUUUACUUUACAUUAUAUGUAAUUAAAUAUUCUUUUAAAGCCUAAUUUUUAAUAUUCUGUACAAUAUUCCAUUGUAAGUGGCCGGGUGCAGUGGCUCACGCCUGUAAUCUCAGCACUUUGGGAGGCGGAGGUGGGUGGAUUACCUGAGACUAGAAGUUCAAGACCAGCCUGGCUAACAUGGUGAAACCCCAUCUGUACUAAAAAUACAAAAACCAGCUGGGCAUGGUGGUGGCUGCCUGUAAUCCCAGCUACUUGGGAGGCUGAGCAGGAGAAACGCUUGAACCCGGGAGGCAGAGGUUGCAGUGAGCCAAGAGCGUGCCAUUGCACUCUAGCAUGGGCCGCAGCGGGAGACUCUAUCUCAAAAAAAAAAAAAAAAAAAAAAAUUCCACUGUAAGUGUACCAUAGUGUACUUAAGCAUUCUUCUAUAGUCAGAAAGAUUUUGCUAUUAUAAAUAACACUGAGAUAAAAAUAAUAGAUAUCACUUACAUAUAGUAUUUACAUUGUGCCAGGCAUUGGGUUAAGCACUUAACAUAUAAUAAUCCACUGAAUCUUCAUAAUAACUUAGUGAAAUCAGUGCUAUUGUUAUCCUCAUUUUAGACACCAAGUCACAGAGACUUGCCUGAGAUUACACUGCUAAUGAGUAGUGGAGCUGGGACUUAAACCCAAGAAAUUUGGCUCCAGAAUCUAUGCUCUUAACUAUCUUUAUACUUAAAUUUUUUUCCUAAUUUAUUUUUUCUUACAAAACAUUAUUUCAAGUUUUAAUAAAGUCUAGAAACACAUUGUCAACUUGCUUCUCAGAAAGAUUGUACUAACUUGUGCUGCCACCAGCAAUAUGCUAGUUUCACCACCUCCUUGCCAACGUCAAGGGUGAGCUCUUAAGAAAUAUUUUCUAAUUUGAUAAAUUAAAAAUGUAUAUAGAAUUAAAUGAGAUAGCUCUAAUUAUAAAGGUGAACAUUUUUCACAUAUACCGUUGUCAUUUAUAGAGAACCUAGGGCUUUUAGUUGGACACAAUUUUAGCGUGCUAAAUUAUGUCUUGUAUUUCUUUACUUUCCUAAAUGCUUUGACAUUUUUCAUCUCAUUUGAUCCUCACAUUAUCCCUGGAGAGGGGAGAUGAUUCUCUGCUCACACAGUGCGUUUGCAGUGGUAUCUUACAAGUGAGACAUCGUAUAAGUUCAGUGGUUAAAAGAUUCUAGACUCAGACAAGUGUUAUCUGGAAUUCUAUCUUGACUAUUUCCUGGGCAAGUUAUUCAACUUCUGAAAACUUAAUUUCCUCAUUCAUUAAGUGGGACUACUACUUACUUCAUAGGGUUGUUGUGAAGCAUAAGUGCUGGACAGAUGGUAACUUUAAUUAUUGCUCUUAAAUCCUGUCACUGUUGGAUCCCAUAAGAAUGUUGUGACAGAACUCCAGUUAAUUCAUAAAUAUUUGCCAAUUGCCGGCUCUUUUUACUUUAAGGUAUUGCAUCAGGUAGAGCAAAGAGAAGAAAUUAGAGGUUGGGCACUCCGAAUUUUUGUUGUUACCAGUCCUUAAAAUAACUUAGAUAGGACAGGCUACAGGAGGCAAAUAUUGGAUAAAGACCCAGGCCUGGAAUUUGGCUCCUGUCAGAAAUAAGACGUGAAUUGGGUCACAGUGGUCACAACCAUUUAAAGCUAAGAAAUAUUGACAUGCCAAAUUGCUUUUUAUUUUCCCACUGUGUGCUGGCUUAAUGGUGCAGUAUCUCACUCUUAGAUUUUGGGUUUGAGGACACGGCUCUGAGAAACAUGGAACCCAUGCGUUACUAACCUGUGUAUGAAGCAGAACUCAACACAAGAGCUUAGUACUAGCUCCGAUAAAGGCGAGCAUGAACGAGGAAGGGAGGGAAUAUUAAGAGCGGUAGCAUGGAGUGAGAGUAGAAUUACUAUGCCCAUCUGUCCCGCUCCACAGAGUUGUCUGUGUAGGUCUAGAACCGUUCUGUUUGCUUGUUGUUAGUAUACUUCUGUCUCUGUUUAAGCCACUCAUUGGUAAACGUGUUUUGGCUUCCCAAAAAUGGUCUUCUUCCUUCAAAUGGAAUUAAAUAAAUGCCAACAAGAAUUUCUUAAACGUUCUUCCAUUAACCGUUGGCCAUAUGCAGAGCACUAUUUUAGGAAGUGAGAAAAGACCCAAAUGACAGAAAAUCUGAGCAUGAACUUCAGAGUCAGAAACUCAGUGCUUCUCCAUGCAUGUUUAUAGCAGCACAGUUCACAAUUGCAAAGAUGUGGAAGCAACCUGUGUUCCCAUUGACUAAUGAGUAGAUAAAUAAAAUGUGGUAUGUAUAUACCAUGGAAUACUGCUAAGCCAUCAAAAGGAACGAAAUAACGUCUUUUGCAGCAACUUGGAUGGAGCCAGAGGCCAUUAUUCUAAGUGAAGUAACAUAAAAGUGGAAAACCAAAAACCGUAUGUUCUCAUAUAUAAGUGAGAGCUAAGCUAUGAGUACGCAAAGGCAUACAGAGUGGUACUUUAGAGACUCAGAAUGGGGAGAGUGGGGAGGGCCUAGGGAUAAAAAAAAACAAAAACAAAACUAUACAUUAGGCACAAUGUAUACUACUUGGGUGAUGGGUGCACUAAAAUCUCAGAA